UACGUAGGGUGCAAGCGUUAUCCGGAAUUAUUGGGCGUAAAGGGAUCGUAGGCGGUUUGGCGCGUCUGCUGUGAAAACCCGAGGCUCAACCUCGGGCCUGCAGUGGGUACGGGCAGACUAGAGUGCGGGAGGGGAGAUUGGAAUUCCUGGUGUAGCGGUGGAAUGCGCAGAUAUCAGGAGGAACACCGAUGGCGAAGGCAGAUCUCUGGGCCGUAACUGACGCUGAGGAGCGAAAGCGUGGGGAGCGAACAGG
rnacentral:rRNA from 1 species